GGGGUCUCUCGACAGUCACUGCCAGUCCAAUGUUUCUGAGUAAACUUUAUGAGGAAAACAGAUUGAAAACUCCUGAGGUUUAGUUAAAUCUUGGUUUAAAACACACACACACACACACACACACACAACAGACACAUACACACAACAGACAAACACACACACACACACGGAUGAACUCACAACUUAUUAUUCUCUCUUUCUUUAGCCAAAGCAUCCAAGUAAGCAGUACACAGACAUGAAAAGAAAUAAGAGGCACGGAGUGGUCCUACAGCCACCACAUUCCAUGUGAUGUGCUAAGUAUUGAAGGCACUUCCUAGACGUAGAGGAUAUUGUGACUCUAAGCCACAGCUGCCUGCCAGCCUCAUUAUUAUUUGCAACACCCACUUGUGUACUAUUUUAAGAGGUCUUUUAUAUAUGCUAUCUGAUUUAAUCCUCAUAAAAAUCCUGAGAGAGGUUGAUAGAGAAAGUAUUUUCUAUCUUGGUUUCUAGGGAAGAACAGGUGUUCAGAGGGGAGAACGUUAACUCACCCCAAAUCACCCUGCUGUUAGGGGCUGGAGCAAGCCUUGAAUCCUGGGAUGGAUCCUGCCUGAAUUUUCAUGCCCUUGUUUCUUUAGGCAUCAGAAACUCCUCCAAGAUUGUUCUGAAGUCAGUCCUGACCCAGUGGGUGACCUUGAUCCACCAGAAAUGCAUGGAAUUCAUUGUACCGCUAGAGAUUCCGUGUCUGGGUAAUGUCUGGGAGCUACUGUAUUCGAUGAAAACAGAACUCCAUGUCUCCAAGGCUACAGGCCUCCUGAAAUGGAGAAGAGACCCCAAGCAAAGUGGUCUUUCCAGGAGACAUCAAGUGCGGUCAUCACAGUGACUCUCCUCUCAUCUCCUCCUCACAGCAUUGGACUUGCCUUUAAGAUCUCCAGUUAAGAACAGCUUCAGCUGGGGGAUGGCAAUGGGGAAUGGGAUGGAAGCCAGAAUUUGCUCUCCUAAAUCUGGCCCGAGCGAUAGAAGGCAUCUUUGGCCUGAAGAAGUGUAAUACAAAGAAAAUCCUAAUUGCUACAGCUAAGUAAUUAGAAGAUCCAACCUAUAAAUCAUAGUGUGACCACCCCUUUAAUUAUGUGCACAGUUCGGUCGGUGACUAAUGCAUCUUCUUUCCUAGAUGAGCGUAUUUAAUAUCCUGUGAUGGCAACAAGUUUCAAGCUGAUUUAUCGUCAUUUUGUUUGGUCAGAUGAUUUUUCUGCAUUUUAAUGUGUUUUGUGGUUACAUAUUUGCUACGAACAAACAAUGCUUUUCCCAGGUAGUACGCUCUAAAAUGCUGGCUGCACGAUUUGUUUACUAUUCUUUUAGGCCUCUGAGAAACCAAACAACAUUAUGUACUUAUUUUUGAGUAGCUGCACUAAAAUCUUAAACAGUCUCCUUAGAGCCCUUCUUUCUCUGGCAGUAUGCACACACGCAAUAAAAUAUUUGAAAAAUUAUCAAUUUCCUUGAGUCUCAUUCUGACACCUGGAUAGGAAGUUUUGAUAUGAAACUCUAAUAACCAUACGACCAGCAGCAUCCACUAACUGUGAGAUGGUAUCUGACUUCAAAGGUGCUAAGGACAACACAUUCGAGAAUGCACAUGGUAUUACAUUAGACACGCCACGGAAAUUUUAAAAAGUAGUAGUAAUAAUAAACAGAACAUUUUAAACAUACACUCUAAAGGCUUAUGCUCAGAUCCAGUGAAGUGGUGGAAAGACUCCAGGCAUUGGAAUCAGACGGACUUGAGUUCAAAUCCCAACCCUGUCUCUCAUUAGCUGUGUGGUGCAAGGCGACUUUGUUUAACUUCACUGGAACUAAAUUCCAGUAAAAAAGGAAUCAGCUUACCUUCUUUGCACAGUUUCUCUGAGGAUGAGAGACUUUGCCUAAUGAGGCCCCCAGCCUGGUACCUGGGAUACAGUGGGUGCUCAGUGAGUGCUAGCUCCUAUUGUAAUUGUAACCCGAAUACAUUUGGGCCUUCCUGCUCACAGAAUCCAAAAGAAACACGAAUCAAUUUUGAAAGCCCUGGUGGUAAUGUGUACAUCCUUGAAGCACUCUUUCUUGAAAGGCAAUAGAGGGGAAAUUGCACACACACACACACACACACACGCAGCCAAACUUCUAAAACAACCUCUAUUCCUCUUUCUCUCUGAAGUGCCCCAAAUUAUUUUUCUCCCUUUUUAAUUUCAAAACUCCAGCCCCACACCAGUUCCCCAAAGCCUCUCUUGUCCCUUUGGCUCCCUUCUCCCCACCCCCCUCAGGGGCUGUUUUCCAGCCAAAACUCAGCCCUCCCUGGCACAGGGAGAGUCUCCUGCUCUCAGCCCUGCGACUCCAUCCCUGGCCUCAUCUCAGCAAAAGCAAGACCGGGGGCUGAGCAGAAGAAAGCCUUCCUCUUUAGAAGGAGAGAAGAGAGAGGCCAGAAAGUCUCAUGGCCCUGUAUGUGAGAGGAAACACUCUCAGGUUAUGUUCAACAGAAAUUAUUUUAAAAAGCAAGCUACGCGAUUAGAGUGUAUGCUCUUUUUUGGGUUGUUGAAGAGAAGUGAAUGAUUGGAAAGUAAAAGAAAAUAGUAGACCAGGGAAGAAGGUGAGAAUGACAGUAGAAGGGUUAGGGGGCUGCAAAGGGGAGGAGAGAGGAGAGGGAUACGUUACGCGGAGGCCUGGGAGUCACCGGCCGCCUGGGAGCCAAUGGCUGUGUCUUCUGCUUCCAUAGCAAAUCGCUGACUUGUCCGGAACAUUUAUCACUUUCUCAGCGCUUUUAUGUGGAUUGAUUUAUUUUCACAACAAAUUUAUUUAUGUGUGUUGAUUCAUUCUCACACCCACCCCAGGAGGUAGGAACUUUAGUAUCCCCACCCUACAGAUGAGUCCACUGAGGCAGAGCCGAUCUCAGUGACUUGUCUGAGAUCCCAAAGCCAGAACCCAAAGUCAGGCAGCCUGGCCCCAGGGCCCACAUUCUUAACCGCAGUGUUAUCCAGC
rnacentral:lncRNA from 1 species